AGGAGAGCAGUGGCAGCAGGGGGAGAGACAAGAGAGUGGUGGUUGUGCAAAACCCUAACCCUAAUCAGGUAGUUGGACCAAGCCCAUUACACAGGGGUAGUCAGGUAAAUAUAAGAGGGCUCAAGCCAAAACCCUAAACGGGAGUCUAACACCCACUAGUCUCAACUCUAUCCUGUACAGAUGUUGAGACUAAUCGAAACUCAAUGAAUACAAUCAACGAUGCCCCCUUGGUGAAGAUGUCUGUGAACUGCGACAUGGUCGGGAUGCUAAGAACGCGGACAUUACCGACGAUGACACGCUCACGGACAAAGUGAAGAUCGAUCUCUAUGUGAUUCGUGUGCUGAUGCUGCACGAGAUUGGUGGAGAAGUAGAUCGCGCUGACGUUGUCGCAGUAGAUGAGGGUGGAGCGCUCGAGGGGGGUGUGGAGCUCCUAGAGACGCUGACGGAGCCAAGAGGCCUUGGCCACGCCGUUGGCCACAACGCGGUACUCGGCCUCAUCGCUGAAGCGCGAGACGACGAAAUGCCGCUUCGCGGUCCAGGAGACGAGGUUGGCACCUAGGAACACGGUGUAACCAAAAGUGGAUCAACGCGUGUCAGGGCAGCCGGCCCAGUCAGCGUCGAUGUAGACCACGAGCUACGACGUCGGGGAGGGUCAAAGGAGUAGGCCGUAGUCGAUGGAGCCACAAAGGUAGCAAAGGAUCCGCUUGAGAGCGAUAAGGUUGGGUUCCCGUGGGGUGUGUGCAUGUGAAGGCACACCUGCUGGACAGUGUAUGCGAUGUGAGCCGAGAGAAGGUCUGGUACCAGUGGCGGGCCUAGGAAUUUGAAACCGGGUAUUCAAAGAUUCAAAAGUUUAAAUAAAUUAGUGCCUCAAUCCUUUUCUGUACUAUACAUUAUUGAUAAAAUAACAUAGAUUUGCAAAAAAUCAUGGGUAUUCAAGUGCAUACCCAUGAUCCCCUCUAGGCCCGCCCCUGUCUGGUACUGGAGUGCGUUGGUGAGGCUCCGAUAGGCCAUCGCGUCGACGACCGAAGUCGCGUCGACGACCGGCGUCGCGUCGACGACCGGGGGCCCAUCAUCCUCAGAGAGCUUCACCUGAGUAUCGACAGGCAUGGAGCAGGGCUUGCAAUCGGACAUGGCAGCCCGCUCUAGGAUGUUGCUUGCAAUCGGACAUGGCAGCCCGCUCUAGGAUGUCGAGAGCGUACUAGCGCCGGUGGAGGAAGACACCCUGAGACUCAGGGGCGGAUCUCCGACCGGGGCUGCCUGGGCUGCAGCCCCGGUCGCGGCCCAGUAAAGUGAAGAGGCCCACUGCGAGUACGCGACCGCCCAGGCGCCUAGCUCCAGCCGCCCAGCUCCAGCCAGUCCCGUGAACAUCCUCCCUCUAGUCCAUCUACCCUCCAGCUACAGUCGGUAGCCAGCACCCUGCAGGCCGAGCGCCGCUCGCCCGGAGCCCCGCCGCAGUCCGCAGUCCGCACCCCGCAGCGCCGCUCGCCCGGAGCACCGCCGCGAGCCUACGACCACGCCGUUGUCCAGCCGCCGCUCCACUGUUUGUGAAGCACAUUUGUGAAGCAGACAAGCUGUGAUUUGUGAUCGUGCGCUAAACCCUAACUGUGAUUUGUGAAGCAGACAAGCAGUGAAGAUAUUCAAGAUGAAAAGAUUUUGAAACAUUUUCAAGGCUUAAGAACUCGGAAGAUAAAUUUACCUCGCAACAUCAACUCAUGGUUCGAGCUCCAAAUAUCCAACCUGCACAUUGCGAUCCUUCCAGAACGCGGGGUCCUCGUCGAGCUCGAAGUGCGGCACCUCCAGGGGCACCUCCGCGGCCGCGACAU